CCCUUAGAUGUUCUGGGCAGCACGCGCGCUACAAUGGUCUUCGCAAACGGAUGCAUUCUCGAAGGAGAAUGCCAAUCUUGGAAUCUAUGCCUUGGUCGGACAGUUGCUUGCAAUUUUUCGACUCGAACCAGGAAUUCCUUGUAAUCGUGAUUCAUCACAUCACGAUGAAUACGUCCCUGCCCUUUGUACACACCGCCCGUCGCUCCUACCGAUCGAAGAGUUAGGUGAAUUGUUUUGAUCGAUAAGAUUUGACUAUGGUCAACUCUCGUUGUGAAAUUCUGUGAAUCUGACUGUUUAGAGGAAGGAAAAGUCGUAACA
rnacentral:rRNA from 1 species